GGGCCCGCACAAGCGGUGGAGUAUGUGGUUUAAUUCGACGCAACGCGAAGAACCUUACCUGGUCUUGACAUCCCGGGAAUCUUGUGGAAACACGAGAGUGCCUCUUACGAGGAGCCCGGUGACAGGUGCUGCAUGGCUGUCGUCAGCUCGUGUCGUGAGAUGUUGGGUUAAGUCCCGCAACGAGCGCAACCCUUGUCUUUAGUUGCCAGCAUUCAGUUGGGCACUCUAAAGAGACUGCCGGUGUCAAACCGGAGGAAGGUGGGGAUGACGUCAAGUCCUCAUGGCCUUUAUGACCAGGGCUACACACGUACUACAAUGGCAUGUACAAAGGGCAGCAACAUCGCGAGGUGAAGCGAAUCCCAAAAGCAUGUCUCAGUCCGGAUUGGAGUCUGCAACUCGACUCCAUGAAGUUGGAAUCGCUAGUAAUCGCGGAUCAGCACGCCGCGGUGAAUACGUUCCCGGGCCUU
rnacentral:rRNA from 1 species